rnacentral:misc_RNA from 1 species
GCAAACUUGGUCAUUUAGAGGAAGUAAAAGUCGUAACAAGGUUUCCGUAGGUGAACCUGCGGAAGGAUCAUUAGUGAAAUAACUUGGGAUAUCAAGUCCCAAACCAUCUCACAUCCACACACCUUUGUGCACCGUUGGACAGGCCUGAAUUAUUAUUAUUAUUAUUUUUAGGCCUGUUCUAUUAUUUUACAAACAUCCUAUGUAUGUAAGGAAAGUAUUAUUGGAAUAAAUAAUAUUAAAAACUUUCAACAACGGAUCUCUUGGCUCUCACAUCGAUGAAGAACGCAGC